CCGAAUUUCUGGGGCCGAAAGGCCUCGAAUUCCACACCAUGUUUUAAGCAUUGGAUCGAUUCGUCGAGAAGAUGCGAAAACUUGUUCAUACCACGUAUGAAAAAAACAAACAAUAAAUCA
rnacentral:misc_RNA from 1 species